rnacentral:rRNA from 1 species
UACGGAGGGUGCAAGCGUUAAUCGGAAUUACUGGGCGUAAAGCGCACGCAGGCGGUUUGUUAAGUCAGAUGUGAAAUCCCCGAGCUUAACUUGGGAACUGCAUUUGAAAUUGGCAAGCUAGAGUCUUGUAGAGGGGGGUAGAAUUCCAGGUGUAGCGGUGAAAUGCGUAGAGAUCUGGAGGAAUACCGGUGGCGAAGGCGGCCCCCUGGACAAAGACUGACGCUCAGGUGCGAAAGCGUGGGGAGCAAACAGG